rnacentral:tRNA from 2 species
GCCGACGUAGCUCAGUUGGCCAGAGCAAUCCCCUCGUAAGGGAUAGGUCGUGAGUUCGAAUCUCACCGUCGGCU